rnacentral:lncRNA from 1 species
GUUUUAUAAGUGUCUGGCAUUUCCCCUGUUUGCAUUCACUCCGUUCUGCCACCCUGUGAAGAAGGUGUUUGCUUCUCCUUUGCCUUUCACCAUGGUUGUAAGUUUCCUGAGGACUACCCAGCAAUGCGAAACUAUUCUACUAAAGGUGAACAUUUCCCUUCUGACUGAAGUUUGUAUUACACUCAUUAAUAGCAAUUUUCUUUAGUGUGGAUUCUCUGGUGAAUGUGAACUUCUGAGGCUUGAGAGAAGCCCGUACUGAACUCAUCACAUUUAUGGGGUCUCUCUCCCCUAUGCACUUGCUCAUCAGUGCCAAGUUUUGCACUCUGAGAAAAAUUCUCACCGCUCUUAGAAAUGAUAAUGAUGUGCUUUCUCUCCUGAAUGGAGGGAGGGUACUACAAAGGAGAAGAGAGGAGCACCUGGUGAAGCUCUCACUACGUUCAUCACACAGGCCAGGAAGAGCAAGGGGAGAAAAAGAUUUGUCCAUGGGAACAAGUACUCAUGCUCUAAAGGACAAUUUCAUUUGAACCCACUAAUUUCCUUUUCAUGAAAAAUUUCAAAGAUAAAGCAACAUAAAAUAUGAGGACAAAGAAAAGGGAGACGGUCUUCAAGGAGAAUUUGUGCCUUUAAGUUUUUACUGGUACCUCAGUCCUUCAGCCUGGAGCUACUCAAAGAUGAAUCAUGAAAAAGAAAAAAACUGUAUUUCAAACAGGUUCAGUGGUG